rnacentral:hammerhead_ribozyme from 1 species
GUGCUGAUGAAGAGUCCCGAACUAGAACGAAACAGCUGUCCAGUAC